UUUUAGGGUAGGCAGGCGAGGAGCCAAGCCAAACCCUCAGUGUUUUGGGUGCACUGUUUUCUCCAUUUUCGGCACCUCCAUCUAUAAAUCUCCCCGCGCCCUGUCGACUUCCCCCUGCCUCCUUUUUUUCGACGCGCCUUGCCCAGUGGAGAUUCAGCCGGUCCUGCGGCCAGCACUGUCGGCGGGGGGAGGUGGGGGACCUUUAGGGUUUCGCCUUUUCUAGGGGUUGUACCAUGCUUCUUCAGGGAGAGGUUGAAUUCAUUUGCAACGAACUUCCUAACCAUCAGGCAUGAGCCAGGAUUUACAUUUGAGUUGUACAUCAAAAGAACUGACCACCAAACACUGCUUUUUUUUUUUUGUAAACUCAAGACUUUAUUUAAACUAGACCAAACAGGUCACCGAUACAACAUUGAAGAUGUUCACAGCUAGAUUACAUAAAACGUCCUUAGUUGGACAAGAGGCCGAAGGAUGGCUUACUGAACUACAACCAAAGAUGCAAGAGCUCCUAGGCUUCCUCGAAGCUGCCGCCAGUGAUAGAGUCUCGUUAUCUGUUAAAAAGUUUGCACAAUGAAGAAGUUGUAAUCUUGAAGCAAUGAUGCUUGCGAGUUCCAAGGCUUGAGCUUCAGCUUGAAGGGCGCUAUCCGCUACUGAAGUUGCCUGCAAGAAGAUGGUUUUGUGCUGAUGAUGACGAGGUGCAUAGAUGAAGACUCCCAGUCCGGCGUGCUUUCCAGGACCUACACAAGAAAAAUUAAGAGGAUUUUGCUCCUUCCAAGCCGCAUCAAUAAAUAUAUUUGGGCCUUCCUUUAUCCUUUUGCUGUCAAUAGGAUAAACAGAUUUAUAAAGAGUAUUUUGGAUAGGAUCUUGUGCAAUCUCCAUUUGGAAGGUUUUUGCUUCGGUUUGAAAAAGCUCCUUAGCUCCAUGUAUGACCUGCAAUGGACUUUGAUUUAUUGAAUUGAACAAGAGAUCGUUUCUUGAUUUCCACAA